rnacentral:rRNA from 1 species
UGAUGACGAGACGCUAAGGCGUUGAAGUGGUGUAUGUCAGACUUCCAAGAAAAGCUCGAAUGUCAUAGAUAAAAAAUGCCUGUACCAUAACCGACACAGGUGGGUAGGUAGAGUAUACUAAGGGGCGCGAGAUAACCCUCUCUAAGGAACUCGGCAAAAUGACUCCGUAACUUCGGGAGAAGGAGUGCCUUAUUUAUAAGGUUGCAAUAACAAGAUCCAAGCAACUGUUUAUCAAAAACACAGGUCUCCGCUAAGUCGUAAGACGAUGUAUGGGGGCUGACGCCUGCCCAGUGCCAGAAGGUUAAAGAAGUUGGUUAGUGUAAGCGAAGCUGAUAACUGAAGCCCUGGUGAACGGCGGCCGUAACUAUAACGGUCCUAAGGUAGCGAAAUUCCUUGUCGGGUAAGUUCCGACCCGCACGAAAUGCGUAAUGAUUUGGAUACUGUCUCGGAGAGAGGCUCGGUGAAAUAGACUUGUCUGUGAAGAUGCGGACUACCUGCACCAGGACAGAAAGACCCUAUGAAGCUUUACUGUAACUUGAAAUUGGAAUUGGACUUUGCUUGCGCAGUAUAGGUGGGAAGCGUUGAAGAUACUCUUGCGGGACUAUUGGAGCUAUCAGUGAGAUACCACUCUUGUAAUGUUAGAUUUCUAACUUUGAACCAUAAUCUGGUCAAAGAACAGUUUCAGGCGGGCAGUUUGACUGGGGCGGUCGCCUCCUAAAUGGUAACGGAGGCGUACAAAGGUUUCCUCUGAACGGAUAGAAAUCGUAUCUAGAGUGUAAAGGCAUAAGGAAGCUUGACUGUGAGACCUACAAGUCGAGCAGGGACGAAAGUCGGUCUUAGUGAUCUGACGGUACUGAGUGGAAAGGCCGUCACUCAACGGAUAAAAGUUACUCUAGGAUAACAGGCUGAUCUCCCCCAAGAGUUCACAUCGACGGGGAGGUUUGGCACCUCGAUGUCGGCUCAUCGCAUCCUGGGGCGGUAGUACGUCCCAAGGGUUGGGCUGUUCGCCCAUGAAAGCGGUACGCGAGCUGGGUUCAGAACGUCGUGAGACAGUUCGGUCCAUAUCCGGUGUAGGCGUUAGAAUAUUGAGAGGAGCCUUCUUUAGUACGAGAGGACCGAGAAGGACACACCGCUGGUGUACCAGUUAUCGUGCCAACGGUAAACGCUGGGUAGCUAUGUGUGGAGAGGAUAACCGCUGAAAGCAUCUAAGUGGGAAGCCCACCUCAAGAU